rnacentral:rRNA from 1 species
GGGAGGCGAGAGCGUGAGCUUAAGCGAACCCCAAAAACUAAACGUCCCAGUUCGGAUUGCAGCCUGCAACUCGGCUGCAUGAAGCUGGAAUCGCUAGUAAUCGCGGAUCAGAAUGCCGCGGUGAAUACGUUCCCGGGUCUUGUACACACCGCCCGUCACACCAUGGGAGUCGGGAACGCCCGAAGCCGGUGACCGAACCCUAACGGGGAGGAGCCGUCGAAGGCGGGCCUGGUGACUGGGGUGAAGUCGUAACAAGGUACC